rnacentral:rRNA from 1 species
GUGGGGAAUCUUAGACAAUGGGGGAAACCCUGAUCUAGCCAUGCCGCGUGAGCGAUGAAGGCCUUAGGGUAGUAAAGCUCUUUCAGCUGGGAAGAUAAUGAGGGUACCAGCAGAAGAAGCCCCGGCUAACUCCGUGCCAGCAGCCGCGGUAAUACGGAGGGGGCUAGCGUUGUUCGGAAUUACUGGGCGUAAAGCGCGCGUAGGCGGACCAGAAAGUUGGAGGUGAAAUCCCAGGGCUCAACCUUGGAACUGCCUUCAAAACUCCUGGUCUGGAGUUCGAGAGAGGUGAGUGGAAUUCCGAGUGUAGAGGUGAAAUUCGUAGAUAUUCGGAGGAACACCAGUGGCGAAGGCGGCUCACUGGCUCGAUACUGACGCUGAGGUGCGAAAGCGUGGGGAGCAAACAGGAUUAGAUACCCCAGUAGUCC